AAGCAGUUCCCUAUGUUUUGAUUUUUUAGCAGUUUUGGACCCCCAAGGCAAAAAAAAUAAUAUUUGACAAGUGGCACCUCACUUAGGGUGUCACGUCAGCAUUGACCGAAUCAACAAUGGAUUGGGGGUCCAAAACUGUCAAAAAAUCAAAACAUAGGGGGCCGUUU
rnacentral:pre_miRNA from 1 species